GAAAGUAAAAGUCGUAACAAGGUUUCCGUAGGUGAACCUGCGGAAGGAUCAUUACUGAGUUGUUCUCUUUUCUUAAAGAGACUCUCCCACCCUUUGUUUAUAUGACCUGUUGCUUCGGCAAGACUGAUUUUUUGUCAAAGAAAAAUCGGUUGACUAUUUUAUUAUAGUGAGCUAGUUUGCUUGCCGAAGUUUUUUACAACACUUAUUUAUUUGAUUUUUUUAUAAAUAAAAAAACAAAAUUAAAACUUUCAACAACGGAUCUCUUGGUUCUG
rnacentral:misc_RNA from 1 species